AUCAACCCUAGGAGCACGAGCUGCAAACAAGUGAAAGCACAUAAAAAUCAGCUGUGAUCUAACUGCAAGCAUUCAAAGAUCUUAUUUUUCUUUCUUGUUUUGCUCUCUAUAUAUUUGCAGGAAAUUACUGCCUUUGCUAAUUAUAAGCCAUUUAUACCAGCUGUUUAUUUCACUGUAAUCAUAACCCCUAUAAUAUCCCAACAGGCUGCUCCAAAAGCCACAGAAUCACUGGCAUUCACCGCAUCCAGAGCACCAAGAGUGCCAACAGGUGAACGGUUAUGAAGCAAGCCAGCUUCAGCAAUCUUCCUCAACUAAAGAAAGCCUGGCGGGAGGCGAAGACAUGGAAAUGAAGGUACAUGUUAGGGAUCCAGCAGGACUCCCAGCAAGGUGCUGAAACUGCAAGCGCAGCUGGCAGAGCUGGAGCCGGAGCUCCAAGAAGCAGAUGGUGCACCAAGACCUGAGCGUUCCAUGGCAACUGAGAGCAGCAGGUGGACCCUGAAGGAAGGUUAACAGAAAUCUGAUUCUUAACCUGUUACAGCUGUCUGGACUUCAAGUAAAAGCCACAGAUGAUCUGAGCUGAUAAUUGUUGGCAGCGUCCAGAAAAAGCCCGUUCGUCGCCGGGCGCUGUGUCCCGAUGCCUCCCGCUGCGACGAGCGCGGGCUGCGCGUCAUCCGCGGCAGCGAAUGUCCGGGCGGAGAGGAGGAGAAAGGAAAGCGGAGGCGAGGCUGCGCGAAGGGGUGCGGAGUGCCGCGGUCUGAGCAAGAGCUGCUCCGAGAAGGGAGCAAAGAGCGUUGAGGAGGUAUUUAUUUAUUUAGCUGUGAGAAACUGAGGAGGAGAGGACGGGCCCGGCGCUGAGGAGCUGUCAGCUGGAAGAGGCACCGAGGCGGCACCUCCGGGCUUUGUCCCUGCCGGGCACACGCUGCCGUGACAGCACUGCGGCUCUGCGUGCACCUGAAGGUGCGGGGAAUCCCAGCCCGAAUCCCAGUGCCCUCCCACUAGAGGCGAGCUAAGGGAGUGAAAGUAAUCAGUGGGGCUUAAUGCCGAAGGAGCCUUUCUUACAGAGACCAGGGAUGCUGUCUGAGGCCUGGGAAUACACAGGUCUCACGGCAGGUCCAGAUGUGCCAGCUGGGAAUUGCUCAGUGUAAAAGUAUGCUGUGCUGAGCCUUCGUGCUGCUUCCAGUAGCACAUCGGCUCGGUAAAGCUUGUAUCAACGUAGUGAUCCAGCAGCACUGCCAGAACUGCCACACACUUGGUGUACUGCAGUGGGAAACUUGUAGCUGUGGUGCUGGUGAAGCUCAUGUCCAAAAGCAGCAGUGCCUGUGGCCUAGGACAGGCUCUGUGAAGCUGUCCUAGCAACACUAGCUGUGUGUUUGCUGCCUGUGAACAUUUCCUUAGCUGAGAAGAUAAAGCAGCAUGGCUUGGCACAGCUUCAGCAUGUAAGCAAAAAUUUGGCAUCUCAAUAUAGUAUCAAAUGAGUGAGAGGUUAAUGGGACCCCAGAAGCGUAAAUGUAUCCUCCAGAUGCUGAUUAAAAGAAGGAUAAACUUCUGAAAUUUGGACACGCUUAGAGUAGUCAGCAUGUAAGUCUACAGUCAAAGGCAUUUCAGUAUAAGUGAAGUUGUUUGGGGUAUUAUAAUCAUGAGUGAGAGCAAUGCUCAGAAUAGUCUUUAUUGUUUGGGUAUUUUAUGAUAACAAAAGUAGCCUGGAAAGAAGCAAUGCUGUAUUCAACAUAGCCAGGGAAUACUUUCAAUCCCCAGUGUUCAUUUUAACUCUUUAUGUUUUAUAUCUCAGAAGAAUUAAAUAUAAUUAUGAAUUUCUAUAA